UUAAAGGAAUUGACGGGGGCCCGCACAAGCGGAGGAGCAUGUGGUUUAAUUCGAUGAUACGCGAGGAACCUUACCUGGGCUCGAAACGUAAGAUGACUGUAGGUGAAAGCUUACAUCUCUUCGGAGCAUUUUACGAGGUGCUGCAUGGUUGUCGUCAGCUCGUGCCGUGAGGUGUCGGGUUAAGUCCCAUAACGAGCGCAACCCCUACCUUUAGUUGCCAUCAGGUUAAGCUGGGGACUCUAAAGGAACUGCCUACGCAAGUAGUGAGGAAGGCGGGGAUGACGUCAAAUCAGCACGGCCCUUACGUCCAGGGCUACACACGUGCUACAAUGGCCGAUACAGAGGGCAGCUACCUGGUGACAGGAUGCAAAUCUCCAAAGUCGGUCUCAGUUCGGAUCGGAGUCUGCAACCCGACUCCGUGAAGUCGGAAUCGCUAGUAACCGCAGAUCAGCUACGUUGCGGUGAAUACGUUCCCGGGCCUU
rnacentral:rRNA from 1 species